rnacentral:rRNA from 1 species
UACAGAGGGUGCUAGCGUUGUUCGGAAUCAUUGGGCGUAAAGCGCUCGCAGGUGGUUCGAUGCGUCGUGCGUGAAAGACCCCGGCUCAACUGGGGGGUGUCGUGCGAUACGGUCGGACUGGAGGCCAGUAGGGGGAUGCGGAAUUCCGGGUGUAGUGGUGGAAUGCGUAGAGAUCCGGAGGAACACCAGCGGCGAAGGCGGCAUCCUGGACUGGUCCUGACACUCAUGAGCGAAAGCGUGGGGAGCGAUCCGG